UGGACAGGUGUAGGUGCUACCUGUGUGAUGGACAGGUCUAGGCGGUACCUGUGUGAUGGACAGGUGUAGGCGGUACCAGUGUGAUGGACAGGUGUAGGCGGUACCUCUGAUGGACAGGUGUAGGCGGUACCUCUGAUGGACAGGUGUAGGCGGUACCUCUGAUGGACAGGUGUAGGCGGUACCUCUGAUGGACAGGUGUAGGCGGUACCUCUGAUGGACAGGUGUAGGCGCUACCUGUGUGAUGGACAGGUGUAGGCGCUACCUCUGAUGGACAGGUGUAGGCGCUACCUGUGUGAUGGACAGGUGUAGGCGCUACCUGUGUGAUGGACAGGUGUAGGCGGUACCUCUGAUGGACAGGUGUAGGCGCUACCUGUGUGAUGGACAGGUGUAGGCGGUACCUCUGAUGGACAGGUGUAGGCGCUACCUGUGUGAUGGACAGGUGUAGGCGCUACCUGUGUGAUGGACAGGUGUAGGCGCUACCUCUGAUGGACAGGUGUAGGCGCUACCUGUGUGAUGGACAGGUGUAGGCGGUACCAGUGUGAUGGACAGGUGUAGGCGGUACCUGUGUGAUGGACAGGUGUAGGCGCUACCUGUGUGAUGGACAGGUGUAGGCGGUACCUGUGUGAUGGACAGGUGUAGGCGGUACCUCUGAUGGACAGGUGUAGGUGCUACCUGUGUGAUGGACAGGUGUAGGCGGUACCAGUGUGAUGGACAGGUGUAGGCGGUACCUCUGAUGGACAGGUGUAGGCGGUACCUCUGAUGGACAGGUGUAGGCGCUACCUGUGUGAUGGACAGGUGUAGGCGCUACCUCUGAUGGACAGGUGUAGGCGCUACCUGUGUGAUGGACAGGUGUAGGCGGUACCAGUGUGAUGGACAGGUGUAGGCGGUACCUGUGUGAUGGACAGGUGUAGGCGCUACCUGUGUGAUGGACAGGUGUAGGCGGUACCUGUGUGAUGGACAGGUGUAGGCGGUACCUGUGUGAUGGACAGGUGUAGGCGCUACCUGUGUGAUGGACAGGUGUAGGCGGUACCUGUGUGAUGGACAGGUGUAGGCGGUACCAGUGUGAUGGACAGGUGUAGGCGGUACCUGUGUGAUGGACAGGUGUAGGCGCUACCUGUGUGAUGGACAGGUGUAGGCGGUACCUGUGUGAUGGACAGGUGUAGGCGGUACCUGU